UUGAUUUUUGUACUGCGUUUUACAUGAGACAUAUUUGUGAAAUCCAUUUUUAUAAAUAGUUUGAAGCCCAGUGAGGCUGAGUAACUACUCCAGGAUCACUUGUUUAGUAUUUGGCUUGAGCAGGAUUACAGUUUAGUUCUUCCAUCUGAUUCUGCCUCUCUUCUAGUACCUCCUCAUCCAUUUGCUAUAAAAGUAGCCCAGCAGCUGAAUUGCCAUGUGAUACUGCGCCCUUCUUACCAACCAGGUGAUGGCAAUAAUAGGAAAAGAGGCAAAAGAUCAGGAGACCUUUACCACAUGUGCUGCCCAAGUAGUUGUAGCAACUGAAGCUACAAUCCUAGCAUCAACCAAAAUGUGUGUCCAGUCAGAAAAACAGAGUCCUCAUAACCUCUAAGCGCUGCGGUUAUUUGGUUGAAGUGAAGGACGUGUGAGCAUUUUGUUGGGAAACCAUAAGCUGGGAAGACAACAGAGAAAAUAGGAGAAAUAUUAUAAAGUAAUGCAGAAACUUCAAAGCAGUACAGCAUGGAUGGUGACUUUGAAAACAACAGCUGCUGACGCGAACUUGGCAGAAAUCAGUGAGUAAUGGUGGGUGACUCAUUGCAAGCAGGGGAGUCUUGCAGCUUUUGAGGGGAACAGGCAGAGGGGAGAGCAGAGAUGGUGGCCAUCCAGGGGCCAAGUACUUAUGUCCUGAAUGUGAAAAUGCCCCUGGUCCCUGUUAAAUUUUGUA